CAGUCUCAGUUCGGAUUGAAGGCUGAAAUUCGCCUUCAUGAAGCCGGAAUUGCUAGUAAUGGCAGGUCAGCAUACUGCCGUGAAUACGUUCCCGGGCCUUGUACACACCGCCCGUCACACCAUGAGAGUUGGGAAUACCCGAAGCCUGUGAGCUAACUGUAAGGAGGCAGCAGUCGAAGGUAGAAUCAAUGAUUGGGGUGAAGUCGUAACAAGGUAGC
rnacentral:rRNA from 1 species